AAUAUCCAGCUUUCACCGUCCAUGCAAGGCUAGAUUCCACCUUCUCUCUCCUCAGUAAAUUGCAAACGAGAGACAGGAAGAGAGAGACAGGGAGUGAAUGAAGGAAGGGGCGCUUGGGUUUUCAUUUUCCAGUCUCUCUUUGGUUUUUCAGAAGCCAGAACAGUCUACAGGGGCUACAAUCCGCGCAAGGGAGGGACUUGUUAGUGAUUUGCUUUGCAUUUCUGUGUCAAAGAUGACUGUAGAGCAAGUAGUUGGUGAAGGCAGAGACCAAUUUCCGAUUGGCAUGAGAGUUUUGGCCGUUGAUGAUGACCCAACUUGUCUAUUGGUGCUGGAAACUCUGCUUCAUCGCUGCCAGUACCACGUUACCACAACAAGCCAAGCAAUCACUGCUCUGAAGCUACUGAGAGAAAACAAGAAUAGGUUUGACCUGGUUAUCAGUGAUGUCCAUAUGCCAGACAUGGAUGGUUUUAAGCUGCUUGAGCUUGUUGGGCUUGAGAUGGACCUUCCUGUUAUAAUGUUGUCAGCAAAUGGGGAUACGAAGCUUGUAAUGAAAGGGAUCACUCAUGGAGCUUGUGAUUAUUUACUCAAACCUAUACGGAUUGAGGAGCUGAAGAACAUUUGGCAGCAUGUGAUAAGGAGAAAGAAAGUUGAUAACAAGGACAGGAAUAAUACUGACAAUCAAGAGAAGCAUCAUCAAGGAAGCAAUGAAACCACAGGAUUUGGAAAUUCGGAGCAGAAGCUUAAUAAAAAGCGAAAGGACCAAAACGAGGAUGAUUAUGAAGACCAUGAUGAGAAUGAUAAUGAUAUGGAUGAUUCUUCGGCUCAGAAGAAGCCUCGCGUUGUCUGGUCGGUGGAGCUACAUCGCAAGUUUGUUGCAGCUGUUAAUCAGCUUGGAAUUGACAAGGCUGUGCCUAAAAGGAUUCUGGAGUUAAUGAAUGUAGAAAAGCUUACAAGAGAAAAUGUGGCAAGCCAUCUCCAGAAAUAUAGGCUCUACCUUAAGAGGAUCAGCUGCGUGGCAAACCAGCAAGCCAAUAUGGUGACAGCCUUGGGUAGUCCUGAUUCUUCAUGUGUAAGAAUGGGUUCUGUGAAUGGAUAUGGAUUCCAUGCUUUGUCUGGAGCAGGGCAGUUUCAUAAUCCAGCUCUCAGAACUCUCCAACCUAGUGGGAUGCUUGGUAGAUUGAACACUCCUGCUGGUCUGGGUCUGCAUGGUCUUCACUCUCCUGGAAUGAUUCAAUUGAAUCAAGUACAAAACUCAGGCAACUUGGUGAAUGAUCAAGGUCAGUUCCAGCCACUCAUGCUUCCUGGAAACCAUAAUGGGAACAUACUUCAAGGGAUGCCCAUGUCAUUGGAUUUUGAUCAGCUACAGUCAAACAAGAGUAUUACGUGCAUUGGAGAAAUUCCCAAUGUCAUUGAUGAUACAACUGCUUUCCCUGUUUCUAGUGGCUUCCCUGAUGUGAAAAUAGGGAGUUCAAACCCUCUCCUUGGUUUCACAAACAAACCGUUGAUGUUAGAAGGACUUCCUCAAGAAAGCCAAGGUGGCCAAAAAUUCGGAAAACAAUCUCUUAUCUCAGUUGCCUCCUUAGAUUCUGGAUUUCCGUCCAAUGUCCUGGACCAAUCUAGAUGCAGUGACAACUGGUCAAGUGCUGAUCAGUCAACCAGUUGCCAAUCCAAUUCUUUUCAAUUAAGUGAGCGUUUUAAACCUGCUAGUCAACGUCCUAGUAAUGUGAGAGAAAGCAUGUCUAUGUUGGCUUUCCAAAUGGGAAAUAAUUCUUGUGAUGUUUCUUCUAUAUCUUCACUAUCCCCUCAGUUUCAGGAGGCAAGCCAACCAGAUUCAAAUAACAUUUGUGCGGGCCAAAUAAUUAACAAUGCCCCGCAAGUAUGUGGUGAUCAUAGACAUGACACAUCCUACGUUUCAAGCACUGUGCGUAGCUCGGUGAACCCAGCUAUCCCUACAAAUGUUGCAGGGCGUCCACUGAGCCAGAACAUGGACCCUAAUAACCCAGUUCUCCAGAGAACCACAGACUUCAGUUCGACAAGACAAUCAAGUUUUGUUGAUUCAUUACCCUUGCACAUGAAGAAUAAUGAGACAGAAAAUUCAGCUUUAGAGACACUAAUGAAGUCAAAGGAAGGCUAUAUCAUGGGCCAACACAAGAUGCAGCGCAGUUACAUUGCCAACAAUUAUGGCUACUUAGAAGAUAUAGCAAUUGCAAUGGCGAAACAGCUGAAACGAUUUUUUUUCUCUAAUAUCAUUUUAUAACCACUGGAAGGGGGAAAUGUAUAGUAUUAAGACUAAAGAAUGAUGAUAGGCUACAUGAUGGAGAGAGUGCAAUCUUUCAUUUCUCCUGUUGAGAGUGAUUGUGCACAUCAUAUUCAUCUAGUGCAGGAACCUGACAAGGUGAAUUCGAUUCAAGGAGACUUUGGAUCUGAUGCUUAUUCUUUCAGGAGAUGCAUGUAAAAGUAGUACAUGCGCACCGAGUCAUGUAGAAAGAAGGGGGUAUGCUAUAAAAGUCUAGGCCUUCUCGAUGAGUUUUGCCUCGUGAUGUUGUUAUUGUUCUUGUUUCUGCGUUUCCUCUGCAACAUUUUCCUACCCUGGUGAACUUACGUUGCAAUUUAUUUUCUCCGUCAUAGUCAUAAUCGUCCGACGUUGUUUCAACCACCGUAAUGCCGUUGCAUGCUGUUAUAACUUUCAAGACCUUGUUGCUUCUGCAUGCAGAAAAUAAUUACUUGGGUCUUAUAGUUUUCUUUUGGCCUUGGAUGUUUGUUUACUUACAGUGAAGGAAAUAUUAUGGAAUGGUCGUCACAAGACCCACAUAAUCCGGA